rnacentral:rRNA from 1 species
ACUAACUACCGCAUUAUUCUGUGAGCAAGGAAAGCGAGGGGAUCGCAAGACCUUGCGCUGAUUGAGCGGCCGAUAUCAGAUUAGCUAGUUGGUGAGGUAAAGGCUCACCAAGGCGACGAUCUGUAGCGGGUCUGAGAGGAUGAUCCGCCACACUGGAACUGAGACACGGUCCAGACUCCUACGGGAGGCAGCAGUGGGGAAUUUUGGACAAUGGGCGCAAGCCUGAUCCAGCCAUGCCGCGUGAGUGAAGAAGGCCUUCGGGUUGUAAAGCUCUUUCGGCCGGGAAGAAAUCGCACAGGUUAAUACCCUGUGUGGAUGACGGUACCGGAAUAAGAAGCACCGGCUAACUACGUG